UACGUAGGGGGCAAGCGUUGUCCGGAUUUAUUGGGCGUAAAGAGCGUGUAGGCGGCCGUACAGGUCAGCUGUGAAAACUCGAGGCUCAACCUCGAGAUGUCGGCGGAAACCGUCUGGCUAGAGUCCGGAAGAGGAGAGUGGAAUUCCUGGUGUAGCGGUGAAAUGCGCAGAGAUCGGGAGGAACAUCAGUUGCGAAGGCGGCUCUCUGGACCAGCACUGACACUGAGGCACGAAAGCGUGGGGAGCAAACAGG
rnacentral:rRNA from 1 species